AGUGAACGCUGGCGGUAGGCCUAACACAUGCAGGUCGAACGGCAGCACAGUAAGAGCUUGCUCUUACGGGUGGCGAGUGGCGGACGGGUGAGGAAUACAUCGGAAUCUACUUUUUCGUGGGGGAUAACGUAGGGAAACUUACGCUAAUACCGCAUACGACCUACGGGUGAAAGCAGGGGAUCUUCGGACCUUGCGCGAUUGAAUGAGCCGAUGUCGGAUUAGCUAGUUGGCGGGGUAAAGGCCCACCAAGGCGACGAUCCGUAGCUGGUCUGAGAGGAUGUUCAGCCACACUGGAACUGAGACACGGUCCAGACUCCUACGGGAGGCAGCAGUGGGGAAUAUUGGACAAUGGGCGCAAGCCUGAUCCAGCCAUACCGCGUGGGUGAAGAAGGCCUUCGGGUUGUAAAGCCCUUUUGUUGGGAAAGAAAAGCAGCAGGUUAAUACCCCGCUGUUCUGACGGUACCCAAAGAAUAAGCACCGGCUAACUUCGUG
rnacentral:rRNA from 1 species